UACGUAGGGUGCGAGCGUUAAUCGGAAUUACUGGGCGUAAAGGGUGCGCAGGCGGCUCCGCGUGUCAGGCGUGAAAUCCCCGGGCUUAACUUGGGAAUGGCGCUUGAAGCUACGGGGCUGGAGUGUGGCAGAGGGAGGUGGAAUUCCACGUGUAGCGGUGAAAUGCGUAGAGAUGUGGAGGAACACCGAUGGCGAAGGCAGCCUCCUGGGCCAACACUGACGCUCAUGCACGAAAGCGUGGGGAGCAAACAGG
rnacentral:rRNA from 1 species